rnacentral:rRNA from 1 species
GAGGGGCCUGCGUCCCAUCAGCUAGUUGGUAAGGUAAUGGCUUACCAAGGCUAUGACGGGUAGGGGACCUGAGAGGGUGGCCCCCCACAAUGGAACUGAAACACGGUCCAUACACCUACGGGUGGCAGCAGUAGGGAAUAUUGGUAAUCUGGGAAACCGGGAACCAGCAACGCCGCGUGCGCGAUGAAGGCCUUCGGGUCGUAAAGCGCUUUUUGAAGGGAUGAGGAAGGACAGUACCUUCAGAAUAAGCCUCGGCUAACUACGUGCCAGCAGCCGCGGUAAAACGUAGGAGGCGAGCGUUAUCCGGAUUUACUGGGCGUAAAGCGUGUGUAGGCGGUUUGAUAAGUUGGAUGUGAAAGCUCCCGGCUCAACUGGGAGAGGUCGUUCAAAACUAUCAGACUCGAGAGUGGUAGAGGGAGGUGGAAUUCCGCGUGUAGUGGUGAAAUGCGUAGAUAUGCGGAGGAACACCAGUGGCGAAAGCGGCCUCCUGGCCCAUUUCUGACGCUCAGACACGAAAGCUAAGGUAGCGAACGGGAUUAGAGACCCCGGUAGUCUUAGCUUAAA